rnacentral:rRNA from 1 species
AGCAGCCGCGGUAAUUCCAGCUCCAAUAGCGUAUAUUAAAGUUGUUGCAGUUAAAAAGCUCGUAGUUGAAUUUCGGGAUUGACACAUCGGUCGUGCCUUAAGGGGUAUGAACUGGUGUAGUCAAUUUCUCACCUUCUGGAGAACCGCGAUGCCCUUAAUUGGGUGUCGCGGGGAACCAGGACCUUUACUUGAAAAAUUAGAGUAGUUUAAAGCAGGCAUUUUGCUUGAAUACAUUAGCAUGGAAUAAUAAAAUAGGACGGCAUGAUUCUAUUUUGUUGGUUUCUAGGAUCACCGUAAUGAUUAAUAGGGAUAGUUGGGGGCAUUAGUAUUCAAUUGUCAGAGGUGAAAUUCUUGGAUUUAUUGAA